rnacentral:miRNA from 1 species
UGUUUGUAGAGUGUGUGUAUAUAAUGCAGUGUGUUUGUGUAGUGUGUUUAUAUAAUGCACACUACACAAACACACUGCAUUAUAUACACACACUAUACACAC